UAAGGAAUAUUGGUCAAUGGACGCAAGUCUGAACCAGCCAUGCCGCGUGCAGGAUUAAGGCCUUAUGGGUCGUAAACUGCUUUUAUACGGGACAAAACCCCUCUACGUGUAGAGGGUUGAUGGUACUGUAAGAAUAAGGAUCGGCUAACUUCGUGCCAGCAGCCGCGGUAAUACGAAGGAUCCAAGCGUUAUCCGGAUUUAUUGGGUUUAAAGGGUGCGUAGGCGGAUUAAUAAGUCAGUGGUGAAAGCCUGCAGCUUAACUGUAGAAUUGCCAUUGAUACUGUUAAUCUUGAGUACAUUUGAGGUGGGCGGAAUGUGUCAUGUAGUGGUGAAAUACUUAGAUAUGACACAGAACACCAAUUGCGAAGGCAGCUCACUAAACUGUAACUGACGCUGAGGCACGAAAGCAUGGGGAGCAAACAGGAUUAGAUACCCCCGUAGUCC
rnacentral:rRNA from 1 species